UGUUUUCGCGGCAACCUGGAAUCGAACCAAGAACCGUGCGAUCGAUAAGCCCGUGCGUACACCACGCGCCUAUCAACGCCUUGAUGUGAAGUGAUGCUGAAACGGUACAUAAAGCGCUCGCAUUGCAAUAAUCGUUCCACCUUUCAUCAGGCAAAAUGUAUGAAUUUCGAUAGUCCAGUUCGCUGCGUGUAGCAUCUUCAAUGUAAGAGCCAAGGAUGGAAAAAAUCAUUUCUAGCGACUAAAAACACAGUAUUUGAACGGUCUAAGACGGCAGUCGUUCUUACAGCAGCAUGAUUUCAACAGCUCACUACGCGCGCGUAGAACGGAUAUAUGAAGCAUCCGAUGCACUGUUUGUCGUGGGACAAAGAGUUUAUCGGAUGUUGUUACAAGUCGCGAUCAACUUUUAUCAUGCCGCAUUUGCGUUAUUAUUUUUCGCUCUAACAAUGUCCGGACGAUUUCGAAAUCACAAACAGCAUGUCCGGAGUUAAAUCGAUGUGUAAAAGCGGAAAAAUCUCCAAAAUAUACUGCUUCGCGACUAAAAAUGGGUUAACCAACGUGCGAAGUUCGAUUUUUGACCAACUUCGCCGCGUCGCGAGUCACUUCGCUAUAGUGCGCAUCUACACUGAAAUCAAUGUUGAAGUAACCGUAAUCAUGACCAUGUAGUUAAGAAUACUAUUCCAGGAUGCAGUUAAAUUAACUGCAGUCACGGUAUUGUCUAAUGUGAUGCGGUCUUAUUUUUACCAUGGCCACAUUUAAAAUAAUUGCCUAAAUUAGUCAUGGUUGAUUCUUCUUUAAUUGCAUCAAGAGGCGCCAUUUCUGUUUUCGAAGAGCAAAGUUGAACGAUGUGCUUUGGAAAAGUUGUAAAUUAUAAUUAAAUUUAAAUAAAAAUUGCUUGAGAAGUGCCAAAAUUAACAGAUAUUAUAAAAAGUCUGAAGACAUCAGGAAAUGAAAAUGCUUUCCCAAGAUGUUCUUCGAAUGAUUACGGUAGUUUUUUACAUGGAUUACUGCAUGAAUGCAAUUGGAUCUGGAUGCUACAUUUCCAAUACCAGCUGCCUGCUAAAGUCGAGCUAUAGUAUACAAAUAAUAAAUGUUAAAUACUGUAAAAUUGUUAGUCAUGUUAAUAAAAAUGAUUGAUUCCGUUGUUUGACUAUAUAAGAUCAUUCGCAAUGCAUUCGGGUUUGCGAAUUUGUGGUAUCAGAUUUUCCAUAUAUUCGCAAAUUCAGAUGCAUUGCGCGUGAAACAUUAUCAAGUUCUGGAAGAUGUCACAAAUACUACAAACGUACAGUGCAUUUUACUACACAAAUGUUGUCAAUUUAAACGCAACUGAUGGUUCACAGAAUAACUCAAAAUUAUUGUUAUGGUUACCACAAAACAUGGUAAUAUUUACCGACUCUCUUAUACGCAGUCCCCAUGGUAAAUCUCACUACAAAAUCCGUUUGAGAUGAGCGUAAUGUGUAGUCUGCACAAAUAAAGUGGCGUUGUGCAUUUAAAUUAAACCAUCAACAUGGUAAUUUUGACCGCAAGGCUAUUUUCAGUGUAUGCCCUCCGCCGUGUGCAUUAUGCGCACUAUUCAAAAUCGAGUUGCGACGCGGCGAAGUUGGUCAAAAAUCAAACUUCGCACGUUGGUUAACCCAUUUUCUCACGCGAAGCAGUAUAAUAGAACUUUGAUUCGCGAACAAUUAGUCGCUAGCACACAUGCAACACGAUGCAUUAUUUGGGGAGCGUAGUUUGUUGUGAUCACUUGACGACAAAAGGUUAAUCGUUGUUGCUUUGAUCGCAGGGUA